rnacentral:lncRNA from 1 species
CUUGAUAGCAUCAUUGAUCAUCUUGCUGUGAUAGGUAUUCCAAAAAAGGGUGUUGUGUUGUGGAAAAUCUUCAAAAAGUGCUAUUCUUUGGAAUAUAUGGCUAGAGCGCAACAAAAUAACUUUUGAGGGGGUGUCCCUGUGUGCUGAGCGGGUCAAGGACCUUAUUUUGCAAUCUCUUUGAAAGUGGUUUUAUGUUACCCUUGAUGGUAAGGGUGUUUUUCG